CUUCAUUCACAGCCCUUGGCUGUCUGGCAUAUUCAGCUCUGAGGCCCAGCCUAUUAGCCGGCAAGGGAGGUCCUACCAGGGAGGGCCCCAGGGGCGGCCGCUGACUUGGUCCCUGAGUGUGGAGUGAAGAGAAGAGGCUGGACCUUGGAGGCUGACAGCCACACACUCCCUUCCCCUCACAGCCGGGGCCGUAGCCGGGAGUCACCUCUCCUCAGCCACCCCAGAGACCAGAGCAAGGAUUGGUGGAAAGACCGCCAAGAAGAGUGUCCAGGAGCCUGGGAACUGAGACAGACCAGCCCUGCCCUGCCCUGCUCUGGGGAGCCCUCGACCAAUGGGGAAAGGCCCUCUUGGGGUUUUACCUACUUACCAGCCCACGGGGAUAUGAGGGCCAGGUCCUCUCAGGUCCCCCAUGAGGGCCCUCCUAUUCUUCAGUGGCCAUCAUGAGCUCUGAAUAGAACAGGCCCGUCAGCCACAUUCCAGCAGGAAGGCUCCACCACCCUGCAGAAGGGAUAGCCCCUGAGACCUCUCCCCAUUGAGUGUCCUUGGGGAGAAGAAGGCAAUGUGGUCUGAAGCUCUUUCUGGUCUGCUUCCUCCCACCCUCCAAUCUCGAUCCUUGCACCCUCUCUACACAAGGCCUCAGUGUUUCACUGAUAACAGGUUUGGCUUUUUCCUGCCUCAGGGUCUUUGCACAUGCUGUUCCAGCUGCCUGUCCUGAAUGUUCACAUGACUGAUUCUCCUCUUUACCUGUUCAUAACCCCCCCCCCAAAGUAGCCCUCCCAGUUACUUCAUGGUUUAUUUCCUACGUGACAGCAUCUCCAUUACACAUUCUCUGGUUAAUUUAUUUGGCGACUUUAAUAUUCUACAGCUCGCAAGCUCCAUAGGGUGGAGUCCAGUUGUCCUGUGUGUGGCUGGAUCCCCAGUGCCGGGCACACAGUAGGUCCUUGUUGAACGUUGCAUGAAUGCAUGGGCAAGGGCAUCGGUGAGUGCAUGGCAGGGGGUGGGGGCUGGGUCUGAAGGAGGCUGAAUGGGGC
rnacentral:lncRNA from 1 species